rnacentral:misc_RNA from 1 species
GUGGGACAAGAACCGAAGGCGCCAGAAAGACACCCUGAGGGAGGAGGAGCAGCGAAGUAAACAAACCUGAACAGUACACGUUUCCUGGCUGCUGUACUUAUCUUAGAUGGUGAUUGUGGAGAACAGCAGACUGAACAUGGCGGGCAGCAGUAACAAUCUUAAUGGCGGUGGUCUGCAGUGUCCUCUGUGCUCGAUCAACAACCUCUCGCGGCAGGAGUUUGAGGAGCACAAGGCGUCACCGCAGCACAGGGUGAAGUGGCUCAAACACUGGUACCAGAACAACAAAAUCCUGUUGGCUCAGAACAAGAAUGGCGUUGAGAUCGUGGCGAAGGGGAACAUGGACGGCAUUUCCACCGACCACCAGACAGGCCAGGUUGCUGUGUACCUGCCGCCGGCCGGCCAGAAGAUCUUCCAGCUGGUGGUGAAGAACACGGGACAGGAGCCUAUCAUUCUGCGGCAGAUUGAGGCGCUGCACUCCUGCCCCUCCGUGGUGCUCACCGACAACCAUGGCGUGUGUCGGGGGGAGAAGUACGUGCGGGUGCUGGGAGGGGUGGAGUACCAGGUGGACUGCAACACAGCAGCGCGGAGCAUCGGAGUGGAGCAGGUGCCCAUUGCGUUCCAGUUCAGAGCAGAGACAUCAGACGAACUCUUCUUUAUCGUCAGGACUGUGCAAGUGAAUGUGCAGGACCAGGUGGCAGAGGAAAGUGGGCCGACAAGUGUGUUUAAGCGCCCAGCUCCCGGCCCUCAUGUGUUCAUCAGUGAGGAGUCCAUUAUUCCCGGCGUGCCCUUGAAGAACAACCAGAAGGCCGACGGUCUGUCCAAGAAGCUGCCACUGUACAACUACAAGUACACAAGGUCGCUGCAGCUCAUCGCACAGAAGAACUUCAACCCAAAGAAGGUCACUGCUGAACUCAGGGAGGAGGCCAGGAAAAUCAGCGACAUGAUGCAGCAGGGCCUGACAAGAGAGAACUACAGCAUGUGGUACCAGACAAUGCUGUGGCUGGAGGAGAUGCAGAUGGAGCUGGACAUCCGGUAUUACUCCAUGGAGGAAACCACACUCAAGCAGGUCCCCUAUCGAGACUACCCCAAUGUGCCCUGUGUGGAGCUCAAGGUUCCUGGGCUGGCCGAGAACCGUCCGUCAGUGUUGAAGGGAGACAAUGUGCUGGUGACCCACAAGGGGAAGAAGAAGCCACUGUACGCUGGGGUGGUGCAUGAGGUGAAGGAGUCCAGCCUCUACCUAGCCUUUGGAUCUGAGUUCAUGGACACGUUCAUAGACAACAUAAGGGUGAGCGUGAACUUUCAGUUCAACCGCCAUCCUUUGAAAGUGAGUCACCGCGCCUAGACCUCACCCAGAAGGCACCCUCACCCACCUCACCUUCCCCACGGUCCCCCCUGCAGCCGCCACCCCCAUCACCAACAUUGUUCCCUACAACCGCAAGCUGGAGAACAACCGAGAGCAGAUGUUGGCAGUGCGUAACAUUGUGAACCGCACCUCCCGGCCAGCUCCCUACGUUGUGUUUGGACCCCCUGGCACUGGCAAGACUGUCACCAUUGUAGAGGCCAU